GAUGAAGAACGUAGCGAAAUGCGAUGAGUAAUGUGAAUUGCAGAAUUCAGUGAAUCAUCGAAUCUUUGAACGCACAUUGCGCCCCCUGGUAUUCCGGGGGGCAUGCCUGUCCGAGCGUCAUUACAACCCUCAAGCUCAGCUUGGUGUUGGGCCCCGCCGCCCCGGCGGGCCCUAAAGUCAGUGGCGGUGCCGUCCGGCUCCGAGCGUAGUAAUUCUUCUCGCUCUGGAGGUCCGGUCGUGUGCUCGCCAGCAACCCCCACUUUUUUUCAGGUUGACCUCGGAUCAGGUAGGGAUACCCGCUGAACUUAAGCAUAUCAAUAAGCGGAGGA
rnacentral:misc_RNA from 1 species